UAUGCAAGGGUAGGUUGCCUGCAUUUGGAUAAACGAACUAUAUGUCAUAUAUAAGCGAAAAUUUUUGAAUAACUUUUAAAAUGUCUUCUAUUGCUUUUGCGUUAUUUCCGCAGACGAAGUGCAGAGUAGCAGACAAAGCUACGCUCACCCGAGAGGUUACGCGUCCAGGAUACAGCCAUCCGAAAAAUAGGGUCAACGAAGCCCUGAAAAAUUUUAAAGAAUUUGCUCAUGCCUUCAAAUGUAAACCUGGUGACCCUAUGUAUCCGCCCGAAAAUGAAACAUGCUCUUUAUGGUGAAGAAGAACCAGAAGACUACAGCAUGAAACAACUGUUUUGAAAAGUUAAAUAAAAUACUGUCGAUGUGCAAA